ACUCCUACGGGAGGCAGCAGUGGGGAAUAUUGCACAAUGGGGGAAACCCUGAUGCAGCCAUGCCGCGUGUGUGAAGAAGGCCUUCGGGUUGUAAAGCACUUUCAGUAGGGAGGAAGGUAGUGUAGUUAACACCUGCACUAUUUGUACGUUACCUACAGAAGAAGCACCGGCUAACUCCGUGCCAGCAGCCGCGGUAAUACGGAGGGUGCGAGCGUUAAUCGGAAUUACUGGGCGUAAAGCGCAUGCAGGCGGCCUGUUAAGUCAGAUGUGAAAGCCCGGGGCUUAACCUCGGAAUUGCAUUUGAAACUGGCAGGCUAGAGUCUUGUAGAGGGGUUAGAAUUUCGAGGUGUAGCGGUGAAAUGCGUAGAGAUCUGAAGGAAUA
rnacentral:rRNA from 1 species